AUUCCCUGACAUAUAAUAAAUGGUGAAUUGAUAUCAUAUUACAACAUCCACCAACUAUUUAUAUUUCAUCCCGGUUACAAUUUUUUUUUAAAUCCGCUCAGGCAUAUCCUUAGACAGCUACACACUUAAAGGAGCCGCUUCUUAAAAAUUAGGGACCGUCUGCCAAGCGACAGUCGGGAUGAGGUAGCAGGCCGCAAGGAAUGUGUAGCAAGUCACCGGGGGCGGCUCGCAGCAGAAAACCUGAUCAAGCCAGCAAGUCUGUUUGUUUGUUUUUCAAAAGUACAAGCUCUCCAGCAGAAUGUAUCUGUAUACAUGGAGACAAACUAUCUACCGUUGGCAGGGUGGCCUCAAUUGCUCUCUAUUAAGGCCCGUGAUGUCCCCUGAAGCUUGGCACAGCAGAGAUUUGAUCAACCUUUAUUUCAGAAGGUACUUUUUUUUUAUAUUUUUUUUUUUUAU